rnacentral:rRNA from 1 species
CCUACGGGUGGCAGCAGUCGAGAAUCAUUCACAAUGGGGGAAACCCUGAUGGUGCGACGCCGCGUGGGGGAAUGAAGGUCUUCGGAGUGUAAACCCCUGUCAUGUGGGAGCAAAUGAAAAAGAUAGUACCACAAGAGGAAGCUACGGCUAACUCUGUACCAGCAGCCGCGGUAAUACAGAGGUCUCAAGCGUUGUUCGGAAUCACUGGGCGUAAGGCGUGCGGAGGCGGUUUCGUAAGUCGAGUGUGAAAGGCGCGGGCUCAACCCGCGGACGGCACAUGAUACUGCGAGACUAGAGUGAGGGAGAGGGAAACGGAAUUCUCGGUGUAGCAGUGAAAUGCGUAGAUAUCGAGAGGAACACUCGGGGCGAAGGCGGGUUCCUGGACCUUAACUGACGCUGAGGCACGAAGGCCAGGGGAGCGAAAGGGAUUAGAUACCCCGGUAGUG